UGAAAGUUGGGUGCAUAAAUAAAAGCAUCUCAAUGCUUGAAUCUAGAACUCACAUUAAUAAGGGGUAAGAGGGCACUGAGCCUAGUGCAAAACACAUACAAUUUUGUUAUUUUCAGAGCUUUUAAAAAUAUCUAUGAAAGUCCAUUAAAGUGCCAGGUGCUGUUUUAGUCUCACUGGCCAUGUACUGUACUACUCUCUUGUCAUAUCAAUGUUAAAAAUCAUUAUCCAAGGGCAGCAGAGCUUUAGCCUUUAAACCUUUUGGUCCGAGAAGAUAAUUUCAAACAUCCACUUAUAGUGCAACAGAUUUCAUAGCAGCAUUUCACAUCCAAAUCAGGAGGACCUCUAAAAUCUAGAUGUUUAUCAAAAGUCAAGAAAAUUGUGGUUUUACUUCUCAGAUCAACAAAACACAUGCGACAACUUGAUUAGAGAUUGAAAAUGGUUGCCUAGGGUCUUGGAUCAGAAUGAGGUUUAUCGUGCAAAACAAAUAAGUACCAGCCGUGAACAAUGAUUUUCU